rnacentral:rRNA from 1 species
CCUACGGGAGGCUGCAGUGGGGAAUUUUGGACAAUGGGCGCAAGCCUGAUCCAGCCAUUCCGCGUGAGUGAAGAAGGCCUUCGGGUUGUAAAGCUCUUUCGCAAGGGAAGAAAACUUAUCCUCUAACAUAGUAUGAGGUUGACGGUACCUUGAUAAGAAGCACCGGCUAACUACGUGCCAGCAGCCGCGGUAAUACGUAGGGUUCGCGCGUUGAUCGGAGUGCCUGGGCGUUAAGCGUGGGCAGGCUGGUAAUCCCCGAGCUCAACUUGGGAACUGCGGUUGAAACUACAAGACUAGAAUAGGUCAGAGGGGGGUAGAAUUCCACGUGUAGCAGUGAAAUGCGUAGAGAUGUGGAGGAAUAUCAAUGGCGAAGGCAGCCCCCUGGGAUCAUAUUGACGCUCAUGCACGAAAGCGUGGGGAGCAAACAGGAUUAGAUACCCCUGUAGUC